GCGCCGGUGGUCUAAUGGCUAUGACUCUGGCCUUCCAAGCCAGCUAUCCGGGUUCGAAUCCCGGCCGGCGCA
rnacentral:tRNA from 1 species